CCCAUUUCUGACUUCUGACCUCCAGAAUUGUAAAAUAUCUAGUCUGUAGCAACUCACUACAGUAGCAGUAAGAAACUAAUGCAUUAGGGAGCUGCUAUAUUUCUCAUCUAAGAAUAGAUAUGUAUACACGAAUAUACACGUACGUGAAUAGAUAUGUAUGGAAGCUAACCUUUAGUGGGCACACUGUGUGUCACCGUUCGAGUGUAUUCAAUCUACUCAACCAAUCUCCACAAGCUGACAUUUAGACUGUCUCAGCCAGACCUUGUGACAACCCGAACUCGCGGCCCUCGAGGUGCUGUCCCAUUUAUGUCCUCUUUCCCACAGGAGCUGCCCACCCAGCUCCCCCGGGUCACUCGGGUGACCUAACGGGACAGAACUGCAGGGCGGACACAUGGCCAUCCCAAGGCCCAGCACCCUAUGGGCGCCACCCGGUCGAAUGCUCUCUGCCAGGGCUGUCUGUCCUUCCUGGGGAUCGGUUCUUUUGGGGAAUAAGGUCGGGGGUUACUCAAUUUGAGAAGGAAAGUCUGGCUGAGCCAGCCCUUGCUGGUGUAGAUUGCUCGGCGCCAAAGAGCGGACCACCAGGACGCAGGCCACGCAGGCGCAGAACCAGCGCCCCGCGCCGGAGGUCCUAGAGAGCCCCGGGAGGACGGCCGGCGGCGGCGCGCACACGCAGAGGCGAACUCGGACGCCCUGACGUCAUCGGAGCGCGCCGACGUUCCCUGGGCGGUGCCGCGGCCUCGGCCCGCGCGGACCCGCCUCACUGGACCCGCCCCCGACAGGACCCGCCCCACAGGCCCAAGGAGUGGGGCUGAACCCCCGCCCAGGGGACCCCUCGCCCCACGCUGGCGAGCGCGCGUCUCCCCGGGCUGCGUGGCCUCAGUGGCGCCCGGCGUGCGUCCACGCGCGGCCCGACCAAGACCGGCGCCGAACCCCAGUGUCCAGCCACCUGGUGGCAUCACAUGCAGACGUCCACGCAGCUUGUGAUGAGCUCAGCGGAAACCAACUGUGAGGACAGGCCGCCCCGCGGCGGUGAGGAGCUCCAGAUGGGCUGCGUCCCCGGACGCCCGGGCACAGCUCUCACCUCGGCCCUCCAGGCCCUGCAGCUCAGGUGAGGAGACGCGCAGCCUCCUUCCCGUGCUCUCGGGGGCUGUCCCCGCACCGUGGGUCCCCAAGCUGAGUGCUUGCUGGUGGAUAAGCUCGUGGGCUCCAGGCCUUUGGAAGGACCAGCCGCGGUCCCUCCUGUGUCCUCCUUCAUCCUCUUCCCUCCACCCCGAGGCUCUGCCCUGCUCUGCGUCCAGCCUCCCGAGUCCAUGAGCGGCUCACGGAUUUCCAGUGUCUCCUGUGACUCCAUUAAAACACGUAAAGACUCUGCAUUUCUCCUGAAAUACACUUUAGCUGCCUUCCUGUGCCUGUUGAGCACGGAGGGGACAGACAGCAUCGUUUCCAGGUGGGAAGAGCAUGAGCUUGGAGCCCUCCGGCUGCAUUUGUCAGAUCUGAAAAGCAUGAGUGCCCGUCAGUGCGGGACUUCAAUAACAUCCUGAUGGACCCACGAAAUGCACAUUCACAGCCAUUAACAGCAGACACACCUCGAAGGCAGUUGGGAGCCCUCGUGGUCUCUGACCUGCUCUGACCCUCGCCCGACCCGACCGCAGUCCAUCUGUAGAGACCAGGCGCCGCUCCAGCAGUUGAGAGGCCGGAAAGGUGUUUGGAGGCCCCCGGGGUCCCUGACCUUCUCUGACCCUCACCUGCCCAGCUCCAUCUCUCCUGCCCCAUCCCUGGGUGCAUUUCCAUCGAGGAGGCACAUCUCCCAGCAGCAAGAGGUCAGAUGGGAGCCCCUCUGCAGCCGGCAGCCACCCUCUCCUUUGCUCCGCGCCCAAGGCCGGGAUCGCAGCUCACUGCGCAGCUCAGCACUUCGCCUGGGCCUCCUGGCCCCCUGCUUGCCC